rnacentral:tRNA from 1 species
UCCUCGGUAGUGUAAUGGAUCAGCACGGCAGACCGAAUAUCUGCAUGUGCGGGUUCGAGUUCCGCCUGGAGUU